AAUACGUAGUCUGCCAUACGCAGGAAGACCCGCU
rnacentral:rRNA from 1 species